rnacentral:rRNA from 1 species
AUUGAACGCUGGCGGCAGGCCUAACACAUGCAAGUCGAACGAGUGGCUGACGGGUGAGUAAUGUCUGGGAACCUGCCCGCUGGUGGGGGAUAACUACUGGAAACGGUAGCUAAUCCCGCCUAACAUCUGAUGAACCCAGCUGUGAUUAUGUAGUAGUUUGGGUAACGGCUCACCUAGGCGACGAUCCCUAGCUGGUCGUAGAGGAUGACCAGCCACACUGGAACUGAGACACGGUCCAGACUCCGACGGGAGGCAGCAGUGGGGAAGAUUGCUCAAUGUGCGCAACCCUGAUGCAGCCAUGCCGCGUGUAUGAAGAAGGCCUUCGGGUUGUAAAGGUCUUUCGGCGAGGAGGCGUUACUCGCAGAAGAAGCACCGGCUAACUCCGUGCCAGCAGCCGCGGUAAUAC